GGAACAUGUGGUUUAAUUCGAUGAUACGCGAGGAACCUUACCCGGGCUCGAACGGUGCAGGAAGAUCUAGAGAUAGUGACGCCCUUCGGGGCCUGUGUGGAGGUGCUGCAUGGUUGUCGUCAGCUCGUGCCGUGAGGUGUCGGCUUAAGUGCCAUAACGAGCGCAACCCUUCUCGCGAGUUACCAUCAGGUGAUGCUGGGGACUCUCGCGACACUGCCACCGUAAGGUGUGAGGAAGGUGGGGAUGACGUCAAAUCAGCACGGCCCUUACGUCCGGGGCUACACACGUGCUACAAUGGCGCGCACAGAAGGCAGCGACCCUGCGAGGGGGAGCGAAUCCCGAAAGCGCGUCUCAGUUCGGAUCGGAGUCUGCAACCCGACUCUGUGAAGUUGGAUUCGCUAGUAAUCGCGCAUCAGCCAUGACGCGGUGAAUACGUUCCCGGGCCUUGUACACACCGCCCGUCAAGCCAUGGAAGAUGGUGGUACCUGAAGUCUGGUGUAAGCAGCCGGCCUAGGGUAAAACUGUUAACUGGGGCU
rnacentral:rRNA from 1 species